CCCCCAAACAGCUAAAAGUAUAUAAUGGUGCUUUGAACAGGAUCCUAAAGAGCUAUUUCCAUAAAGUGGUCCAAUUCUUUUUAGAGAUGCAUCCCUGAAGUGGAGCACAAGACCUCAAGGUUGCUGGAGCCGCAGGGGAAAGGGACGCAAGGGGGGGCAACCAUGACACCACACGCAGACUUCAGAUGGAGACAAUGGAGAACAAGUUCCAUUGAACACUGACUUUGUCCAGCCUUCAAAAGUCUACUAAAAGCUAUGACUGGAGAGAAAAUAACAAUCCUGCUUCUCUCGAUGGGACUGACCCAGUUUAGACUGCAGUGUGUUGAGAUGA